GAUUAUUAAUUUUCAGGGGAUACCGCUUACACUGAAUGUUGCGGCGACACCUCUUUCGACCGACGUUACUCAUCCUGUCCUUGCCACGACGGUUCAAUUGCCGUAGGAAUCCCAAAACAAAACGCCGGCUGUUGUUACAGCAGCGACGGACGGUCAAAGGGGGGAUACAACACAGCAACUCAAAUGUGUUGCAAUGGUCAAGGAUACAACAAAACUGGCCAAUUUUGCUGCGGUGGUACGAUCGGUAACUCAGCCACUCAGAUGUGCUGUGGAGAUACAAUUACCGAUGUAGCCGUAGACCAACAAGGACUUUCCCUCGCAUGCUGCGUGAUGGCUGAUGGUACAACUGAGGCUUACGAUUCAAACACACAAAUCUGCUGUGGGGGAGCUAUUCAUAACCGAGGAAUUAA